CCACCACCUAGCUCAUCCGGAUAGAGCAUCAACCUUCUAAGUUGACGGUGCGAGGUUCGAGUCCUCGGUGGUGGGCCA
rnacentral:tRNA from 1 species